GACGAACGCUGGCGGCGUGCUUAACACAUGCAAGUCGAACGGAAAGGCCCUGCUUUUGUGGGGUGCUCGAGUGGCGAACGGGUGAGUAACACGUGAGUAACCUGCCCUUGACUUUGGGAUAACUUCAGGAAACUGGGGCUAAUACCGGAUAGGAGCUCCUGCUGCAUGGUGGGGAUUGGAAAGUUUCGGCGGUUGGGGAUGGACUCGCGGCUCAUCAGCUUGUUGGUGGGGUAGUGGCUUACCAAGGCUUUGACGGGUAGCCGGCCUGAGAGGGUGACCGGCCACAUUGGGACUGAGAUACGGCCCAGACUCCUACGGGAGGCAGCAGUGGGGAAUAUUGCACAAUGGGCGGAAGCCUGAUGCAGCAACGCCGCGUGCGGGAUGACGGCCUUCGGGUUGUAAACCGCUUUCGCCUGUGACGAAGCGUGAGUGACGGUAAUGGGUAAAGAAGCACCGGCUAACUACGUG
rnacentral:rRNA from 1 species